rnacentral:rRNA from 1 species
UACGUAGGGGGCUAGCGUUGUCCGGAUUUAUUGGGCGUAAAGAGCGUGUAGGCGGCUUGGCAAGUCUGCUGUGAAAACUCGAGGCUCAACCUCGAGCUGUCGGUGGAAACUGCUUGGCUAGAGUCCGGAAGAGGAGAGUGGAAUUCCUGGUGUAGCGGUGAAAUGCGCAGAUAUCAGGAAGAACACCUAGGGCGAAGGCAGCUCGGUGGGACGGUACUGACACUGAGACGCGAAAGCGUGGGGAGCGAAC